UACGUAGGGGGCAAGCGUUGUCCGGAAUCAUUGGGCGUAAAGAGCGUGUAGGCGGCCAGAUAAGUCCGCUGUGAAAUCUCGAGGCUCAACUUCGAGCUGUCGGUGGAAACUGUCUGGCUAGAGUCCGGAAGAGGAGAAUGGAAUUCCUGGUGUAGCGGUGAAAUGCGCAGAUAUCAGGAGGAACACCGGUGGCGAAGGCGGGUCUCUGGGCAACAACUGACGCUGAGGAGCGAAAGCGUGGGGAGCGAACAGG
rnacentral:rRNA from 1 species